GUAGAAUUUACUUGAAUGAUGGUUGCUCU
rnacentral:piRNA from 1 species